UUUCUAUUUUCUCAGAUUUUUGCCAUUUUACUCAAAUAUUGCCUUCUUAAAAUUAAUUAAUAUUUUCCCAUCAAAACCGCUCCCUAAUUGCAAUUGUAACGGUUCACUCAUUCUUUCCAACUCCCCGCGCCUCUUUGUCUUACAAACUACACCUCUUAUUUUGACGUGUCCUCUUAAUUAGGGUUUUGCUUCAUCUCUUUUUACAAUGAAAUUCAACUAUCCAGCACAGAGAAGAAACAAGACGAACUUCUUGACCCAGUUGAUCAAAGGCUGCACAGAUUUCAGUGAAAACACAAAGAUGUGAUGAUACGUGGUGCACAUCUUUCCCCUUUUCUUAACUUUAAGGUUGAAUCCUGAGGAAAUAUUGGCUGAAGCAGAAUUCCUACAAGCUUUCAUUGUUAUAUUUGGAGGUUUGACUUUCAUUGCAAGUUCUUAUAGAUGACAUAUUAAUUUGUAUACACUAUCAUCAAAAAUAUAAAAGAUGAAUGUAUCACUAUUAAUGUAUUUUUACCGGUUGUAAUAUGCUAAUAUUUUAUUUACCUAUUAAAUGCAUAUAUAUUCAAAGAGAAAGCCUGGCAGUCUAUACCUUACAACCAUUUUAGUUAUAGAUGGCCUCCAAGUAACUUUGAUUUUCUGUAGUAAAUUUGGAAAGCAUAUAGGAAAUGACAUCAAUUAGUCUCCAUAUCCUUUUGUUAUGUCUAAAUCUAGGAUCUAGAUUUUGCAAACAUAUUUACGGCUUUUCUUGGUUUAAAUAUUUUAAAAGUGAAUUUUGUCUUUGGUAUUUAUUUGACUAACACACAUCAUCUUCAUUGUGAAGAAAAAUGAUGAAAUUUCUACCUUUUAUGCAACAACUACAUUCAUCGGCUACAGUGAUCUGGUGAAAUGUGCUUCCAUCUAGGUACAUGGAGAAUGGAAUUCUUAAGUAUCAUCUUAUGGACGUUCUGAAUCUGGAUUGGACAUAAGGGCAUGAAAUUUGCAUAAGAUCAACAAAAGUACUUUACUAUCUUCAUACUGGUUUUCAUAAGGCAAUUAUCUACUGAUAUGUCAAGUCGUUGAACAUACUUCUUGACGAAAAUCUCCGGGCUAAAGUUUCUGAUUUUGAAUUAUAAAAAAUUGGUCCGGAAAUUGAUGAAACACAUGUUAGUAUUGCAGUGAAAGAAAGUUUCAGAUAUCUUUAUCAGGAGUAUUUGACAAGGCAACAAAAUGUGUAUAUAUAUAUAUAUAUAUAUAUAUAGACUGGGAAUAGCACAGGCUGAGUUGGCACCUCUCUAAGGCCUGGAUUCCUAUUUAUCUUUUUUGUGGUUUUUUUGCAUUUUCCCUUAAAUAUUUCAUUCUCCUUAAUACACACCAAAGGUCAACAGUCACGACUAAUUAAAGCCACUAACAGUCGUUUCAGUCCCCUAAUCCAUCAAUUGGAAAACCCAAAGACCUCUUUAACUUGCCUGCAUUUCCAACACAACGACGAAGAAGAAAUCAAUGGUUCUGCAAGAGUUCUUUCCAUUCUCUCUCGGUCGAAGCCGCUGCAAGAGUUUUCUCUCCACUGAUACGCAAAUAGUUUCAUCCCCGUGUCCUAAUCUAAUAGAAUGAAAGUUUUUUCUCUUUAACCUUCUUGGUUCAUCUUCUUUGAAUAGUUAUAUACUCCAUUGGUUGCGCCAAAUAAGUGACUAAUUUAGAUUCACUUAGUUGAUCUUGAAUUUGGUAACUUCUACUUUUAAUUCGAUCAAGAACUAACAAGUGUAUUACUUAGAAUUCCUGGAAUCUGAUAUUCUCACUUUGUGUGUAGGGAAAAUGACUUUGAAAAGUGGUUAAUUUAUGGGAAUAAUUGCAGGUAUCAUAGACAUCUUUGUAAUUUCGCUGCAAGUUUUUACACUUGAAGAUUGGAGUUUACUUCCUCGGUCCGGUUGUUAUAUUAUUAGCUUUUAAAUUGCAUUCAUAUGAUCCAAUGCAAGGUUCUGCAAAUAAUUUCUUGUUUUUUAAGUUUUUUAUCCUUCUUUUUGCUCUUUUCUCUUUGCAUAGUGUCAGUUUGUAUUUUUGUAUUGUUCAAUGUUCUUAUUUCAUUUUCUUGGCAGAAAGUUGAAAUAAAAUAUAAUGAAAUGUUAACUGAACUUAGAAUUGGAUCUGCGCAAGAACCCAGUAUAUGAUUUGGGAGUUAGAGUUCAAACUCCCAAAAAAUAUGAGGAAAACGAUGUUUACGGGCAAUUAUUACACAACUUAAUAAUUCAAGGUUUAUUGGUAGAACCUUUCAUUUUCUUAAUAUUAUUCAGCCUAUUUGAACUAUUUUAGGGAAAUUAUUGUUUGCUGGGCAGCUUGGGCUAUUAUUUUCAUUCAUUUAUAGUAUGAGAAAAUAAAAGUAGGAGUUACAGUGAUCCACAUAAAUACAUAGAUGAAUAUGGUCCUGUUUAAUUCAGUAAUGCCUUUGUAUUUUAGCCUGUAUAUGCACAUUUAUGUGGCUCACUGAUAAAUUAUGAUUUCACUUUUUCUCCCCUGUGUCAAGUUUAGAUAUUCUUUAAGAUUUGGUUAGCAUGAUCUGAUGCUCCUUUCUCAAAAUAUCCUCCAAUUCAAUGAAGGUACAUUAAUUAGGAUAGCUGCAGCCACAUUUUUGUUUCUGGUGGAGCCACUUUAAAGUUUAAUCAUACUUACAUUACACAUUUUAUAUUUCUCAGCUGUUGCUAAUGAUAUUGCAAGAUGCAACUCCCAGCCUUGAUUACGAUAGACUAUGAGAGGAACAAAGCAUUCUCUAAGGCACUUUUUAAAUACUUGACUCUUGACUGAUAAUGUUGUUGACGUUAGUGUUUCCAUUACUUUUACUCCUUGCUUCAAUUUUGUUGCUUGUGGAAAUCCUAGCAUUUAUCAGAGAGUUUAAUUAAGUAUUCAACUGCUAUUCGACGGUUCAUCUAAUAGAAACAAUUUCCAUUUGAUAUGUGUUGCUUUCUGAUGUUUUUUGUCGAAUACUUCAGCAAAAGAAGGCAUAGGAUGACUACAAUGUUAUGAGAUGCGGUUAAACAGAGGUUAUUUUCAUACUUCUUAAAUUUCUUUGCAUUGUGCUUAUGGAGUUGUAAUAGAACAUCAGAACGAUCACCUCCAAGAAGUAAAUUGCCAAAUUUACAGCUACCGAUGAAGUUUCAUGGCCAUGUGAAGAGCAAAAUUAGUAGCUAAUCAAGAAUUUUGAUUUUUUCAGAAACCUUCCAAGUAUUUGGACUCCCGGGACAAAGAUUAAAGAUACAUUCUCUUUCUAAUUAAAGGGGGGAAAAGCACGAAGUUGGGCUUCAUUGGAAGAGUUUACCUUGAAAUGUGAUCCUACAUUAACUCUUCAACAAUGGUCGUAGGCUGAGUAAGGUUUCAAAUAGACCAUGGUUUCAUCAAGAAAAGGCCAAACCACGAUGCCGGGGGGAAGAUUUAGGAUAUUCUGUUGAAUAAGUACAACGAAGAUUUGGAAAACAAGAAUAGCAAGAGAUUCAGACAUGGGGACCGGCUAAUGACUUCACUAGCUCGAUGUAUCCUUUCUUCCUCUCUGUUGCUGGAGCAGAUAGGGAAUGAGAUAAAAGUUAUAGCAAGUUAAUAUGUAGUUUAAGUAUCUUCCUGUUGUAGUCAAUUUGAAACUAAAGUUGAACAAGAAUUGUGUUUUAGAGCAAAUUACAAACAUGCAAGUACUUUUAAGACA